UACGUAGGGGGCUAGCGUUGUCCGGAAUCAUUGGGCGUAAAGCGCGUGUAGGCGGUCCGGUAAGUCCGCUGUGAAAGUCGGGGGCUCAACCCUCGGAUGCCGGUGGAUACUGUCGGGCUUGAGUCCGGAAGAGGCGAGUGGAAUUCCUGGUGUAGCGGUGAAAUGCGCAGAUAUCAGGAGGAACACCAAUGGCGAAGGCAGCUCGCUGGGACGUGACUGACGCUGAGACGCGAAAGCGUGGGGAGCAAACAGG
rnacentral:rRNA from 1 species